GGCUGGUCCCAUGGUAGUGGGUUAUCAAAACAUGUUAACAUUAGUGUCACUAAAGUUGGUAUACAACCCCCCACUGCUAAAUUUGACUGGCUUUUU
ensembl:Y_RNA Y_RNA Y RNA